rnacentral:misc_RNA from 1 species
GUCGGAUAUACGCAAAACAUCUAGGGUCUCUAGGGUUUCAGGGAAUUCUCGAGGUGUGAAUGACAAAUUGAGUGAAAAUGGGAAUAGGGUUUCGACGGAAAUGGAGAAAAGUCGUGAACUUUUGGGAAAAUUUGAUGUAAAAUCUGAGAAAAUUAAGAUAUCUGAAGGUAAAAAUUCUAAAUUUUGUGAUAGAGAAGAGCUUAUCUCAAGCUCAAGUUCAG